rnacentral:tRNA from 1 species
GGUUGUGGCUCAGUGGUAAAAUGCUCGCCUAACACAUGUGAGGCACUGGGUUCGAUCUUCAGCACCA